AUGAAAGCCUCCAUUGCAGAUGUUGAUGCAUGUGUGGCUGAUAUUGAUGAGGAUUUACUUGCUGAUGCGGCUCUUCCUGUGCCUGACCAUAUGCGUGAAGAGGAUCACUUUUGGUAUGAUAAGGAACAUCCUGUGAUACAGGAAGGAUCUUUGUUUCGUUCAAUGAACGAGUUUAGGAUGCUCAUCAGAACAUUUGCUAUUAGAUGCAAGUUUGACAUCAAGAUCAAGGAUAGUGACACUACUAGAUUUUUGGGUCACUGUAAAGGAAAUGCAUGUCCUUGGAGAUAA
rnacentral:rRNA from 1 species